GGGGUAUUAGCUCAGUUGGUAGAGCAACUGACUCUUAAUCAGUGGGUCGGGGGUUCGAAUCCCUCAUACCCCACCA
rnacentral:tRNA from 1 species